ensembl:ncRNA Y42A5A.9 ncRNA
CUCCGUAUUUGUCUCCAGUUUGACUGCAGUCAGAAAUGAAAGUGCUGUGCGGGAGGACCCCUUUGCUCGUUUAGUCGCUUCUUCCGGCGUCAUGGUUUCCAAACGCCACUUUUGGAACAUUGACUAUUUACGAGACGAUGGUUGAG